rnacentral:tRNA from 2 species
GGAGAGGUGGCCGAGUGGCUGAAGGCGCACGCUUGGAAAGCGUGUAAGGGGUAAAACCCUUCGAGGGUUCGAAUCCCUCUCUCUCCGCCA